AAUAACGCCUCCCCCGAGGACCCCCUUCCCAGUAAGGGGCGAGGAAGCCUCCGGGGUAGGAAAACAGCAGUGAAGAAGUAGCAGGAGCUUCAGCAGAGCCUGGGCAGGUGCAGAAGAACCUAAAAAGGUGCCAGUUUGGUGCUGUCCCUCCCCAAUAAAGGAUAUUUUGCACUCCUGGCUCUCUCUGUUGGG